GAUCCUGGCUCAGAUUGAACGCUGGCGGCAGGCCUAACACAUGCAAGUCGAGCGGUAGCACAGAGAGCUUGCUCUCGGGUGACGAGCGGCGGACGGGUGAGUAAUGUCUGGGAAACUGCCUGAUGGAGGGGGAUAACUACUGGAAACGGUAGCUAAUACCGCAUAACGUCGCAAGACCAAAGUGGGGGACCUUCGGGCCGUCCAUGCCAUCAGAUGUGCCCAGAUGGGAUUAG
rnacentral:rRNA from 1 species